rnacentral:rRNA from 1 species
UACGUAGGUGGCGAGCGUUGUCCGGAUUUACUGGGCGUAAAGAGCGCGCAGGCGGUCGUACAAGUCGCGUGUGAAAGCCCCCGGCUCAACUGGGGGGGGUCACGCGAUACUGUUCGACUCGAAGGCAGGAGAGGGAAGUGGAAUUCCCGGUGUAGUGGUGAAAUGCGUAGAUAUCGGGAGGAACACCAGUGGCGAAGGCGACUUCCUGGCCUGUUCUUGACGCUGAGGCGCGAAAGCUAGGGUAGCAAACGGG